rnacentral:rRNA from 1 species
UACAGAGGGUGCAAGCGUUAAUCGGAAUUACUGGGCGUAAAGCGUGCGUAGACGGUUAUGUAAGUCAGGUGUGAAAGCCCCGGGCUCAACCUGGGAAUUGCAUUUGAGACUGCGUAGCUAGGGUGCGGAAGAGGGAAGCGGAAUUUCCGGUGUAGCGGUGAAAUGCGUAGAUAUCGGAAGGAACAUCAGUGGCGAAAGCGGCUUCCUGGUCCAGCACCGACGUUCAGGCACGAAAGCGUGGGGAGCAAACAGG